UAAACGGAGAGUGGGCAGUUGCACGUGCGACUGAUGCCAGCUCGCGCAGUGAAAAUGUACGUUGUUAGUGAGACCUCACUCCACGAGAGCCGCACUCUUGUCCCGUUGGCUCGUGCACUCGUCUCGCAACGUGGGUCGGAGCCGCACCCUCACAAAAUGCGUUUCCUGACUUUUUGUGCGACGAGAGUGAAAAAUUAAUGAGGAUUAAAGUAACAGCAGCAAUGCUAUUAGAUCAGCCACAAAUAUUUGUUUACGGAACUGCUAGAGAAGCAAAGAUGUCACCCUAUGUUGCUGCCUCUUCUGGAAGAAAGUGUUCACUACAGCCAUUUGCAUCCUUUUUGCAAAGUCUACCACCAUCUGAAGUUCCUUUCCUAGAUGCCGUACUUACCCAUCACUUCUUCAUCACCCCUAUUUCCUUCACCAACAUGUCCAUUACAAUCUGCACCAAUCACGACUCUUUCUCUGUCUGGGAUGCUCAGAACUACUUCGUCUAAAUCCUUCCAGAAUUUCUCUUUCACCUCUAGGUCACAUCCUAACCUGUGGGGCAUAGCCACUAAUCACAUUAUACAUAACACCAUCAAUUUCAAGUUUCAGCCUCAUCACUUGGUCUGAUACUCUUUUCACCUCCAAGACAUUCUUAGCCAACUCUUCUUUUAAAAUAACCCAGACUCCAUUUCUCUUCCCAUCUAUACCAUGGUAAAAUAAUUUAAAGCCUGCCCCUAAACUUCUAGCCUUACUGCCUUUCCACCUGCUCUCCUGUACACACAAUAUAUCAACCGUUCUCCUAAUCAUCAUGUCAACCAACACCUGAGAUUUUCCUGUCAUAGUCCCAACAUUCAAAGUCCCCACAUCCAAUUCUAGGCUCUGUGCUUUCCUCUUCUCUUUCUGCCUAAGAACCCGCUUUCCAACUCUUCUUCUUCUUCGACUUCGACCCACAGUAGCGGAAUUUCCACCGGCACCCUGCAGUUUAACGGACGGGCGGACGUUGUUAACCCGAGCCACGACCGAUCCGGUGCUGCAUGUAUAAAUACAUAUUUUAAUCAGAACUCACUCCUGUGAUGACCGCUGCUCUGGACCAGCUCACAGACACGAGAAGAAAGGACAGCAGCACCGCUUGGAAGAAGCUCAUGACGGACAACGGAUCCAGCAGUCACUGGAGCUCCUCUCCUGUCUCCUGUCUCCUGUCUUUAUCCACUCGGGUUCCCUCACCUCACCUCACUUCCCGCCCGCCCACUCCAUGUGUGAGGGACCCCACGCCACGCCAGAGCCGCCUCAUCAGAUGCUCCCCGCCAAUGGCACGAAUCCACACGCUGAUGGAUGGAUAUCUUUGGCUCUUGCGUGAGUUUUUCCACAUAUCUGUUAAUAGAAAAUUGGAAAAAAAUAUAUGAAAAAGCUCAACAUAACAGAAGAUAGAAAAGUCUACAAACCCCUGUUCAAAGGCCAGGCUUUUGUAAAGUAAAACAAUCAGACCAAUAUAAGUCACUUCAAAACUUAUCCCACCAUUAUCGUGAGCUAACCUGCACAGCUCAAAAUAAAGAAUUGAGAUCAUGUGGUUGCAUAAGUAUGCACACCCUCUUACGGUAUAACUGGGAUGUCGUUUAAAGUGUCUCUGAUUAACCCCAAAUAAAGGUCAGAUGUUCUAGUUGGUCUUUCAGUGAUUUUUAUUUUUAUUUAUGUUUUGGUCUCUAUCAGAAGCAAAAAGGUUUUGUGCUAACACUGCUAUUUUCGACUGUUCAUAAUUCCUUCCACCUUGGCUAAGGCCCCAAUUCCCAGCUGGCCCAAAGCAUGAUUCACUGUUGGUAUGCUGUUCUUUUAUGGACUAAACGCUUGGCGUUUGUUUCCAUAAUACAUUUUCCCACAUACGUUUGGGAAAUGUUGUGGUCCAACGAAACCAAGGUUGAACGUUUUGGUCAUAAUUCCCAAAGAUAUGUUAGAUGCAAUCACAACACUGCUCAUCACCAAAAGAACACCAUACUGUGAAGCAUGGUGGUGGCAGCAAUGUACUUUGGGGCUGUUUUUCUUAGGCCUUAGACAAGGUGGAAUGAAUUAUGAACUGUUCAAAAAAGCAAUGUUAGCACAAACCUUGAGGCUUCUGCUACAAAGCAAAACAAUUGGGGAUAACCAAUAGCACUUUAAAUGUUGGCAGCUAUGUAAUAGGUCCCAUUUAACAUGUUGUUAACUUCAGUUUCAAUUUGAUUGGUUAAUUGUGAACACAGCAACAUCCCGGUUAAAAGAGGAUGUGCACUACUUGUGCAACAACAUUGUUUAUUUUUGACUUCCCUUUCCGAAAAGAUUUCAUUUUUAUUUCAAUAGAGUUAUACUGUAGCUUAUAGAUCACAAUAACAAGUAAAAAAGUUUUGAAAUUAUUUAUCUUGGUCUAAUUUUUUUUAAUCACAAUUUGAAUAGAGGCGUUUAGACUUAUUCUAUUUACUGUAUGAUGCCAUGUCCAAGCAUCCCUGAUGAAUCACACACUCAGAGCAGAAAAGGGCCGGGAAAACGUAUUGGUGGUCUGUGAGAACAAUGAAAAACUAUCAUCUCAUUACUGUACACUGUACUGUACGUGUGCCACAGUAUAUAUUAAAUUCAGUAAUAUUCAACAAUGAAAGAAAAAAAAAUCCGCAAUGAAAGAAAAAAAAAUUCGUCUUGUGUGGAAUGUCACACGACCAAACCCAGAAAACAGGUUAGUGGACUUACUGUGUGUGCAGCCAAACUACGAUAUCGAGGGGCUGAUGACAUGAUGGUUUGAACUCGCACUUGCUAGAAUAUUAAUUUCUUUACAAGACAUCUUGUGUGAAACAAAAUACAAGGUAGAUGUUUAAAGUUCUUAAGGGUGCUUUGUCACAUUCUCCUGCCAUAGGGCUCCGCUUGUUACCCGAGCCGAAAAGGAAGUGCUUUGUCAUAUUUGGCCCAAUGCGGAAGUUGCUUGCGCAUGUACUCUAUCGGACUGGGAGAUGUUCAAUAUCUGUGCUAAAAUCUGCAACAUUGUUCCUUUAUAUUAGUAAUUUGCUGAAUUUCAUACUUUCAUUUAUUUUGUCUGUUUCAUUAAAAUUAUUUACGGUAAAAUGUAGCUAAAAUCUGCAAAACAUGCAUUAUAUACUGUAUUUUUGUUAUUAAUCUUUUGUUAAUUUUCUUUUAAAAUUUGUAUAAAGCAGUGUUCAUUUCUGCUAAAAUAUGCCCAAUUUCUAUUUUUUAUAACAUUAUUUUCUUUGUUCUCUUGAAUGUAUUGUUAAAUAUUUACCAUAAAUUAUGUCGUGUAAUCUGUUAUUUUG